rnacentral:lncRNA from 7 species
CUUCUAUCUCGACCGUCCAAUCUGAUCUAACGUCUCUUGCUCGUUCUCUUCCAUUCAGCCGAACAGAGUUGCGGCGCGCUCGCGGAAACGACGAUGAUUUCACCAGAGCACCCGUCCGCGGCACAAGGGGAGUUUUACCGGUGGUGGUCAUAGGGGGAGUUUUACCGACGGUGGUGUAGCAGAGGACCAGUCCACGACACAGCUUGGCUCCGCGACGGCCACAAGUUCCGGUGAACGAUCUCUGGCCCUCAGAUUCAACUCUGCGCCAUGGGAUGCUUCCCACAGACCCAACGGGUAAAGGUGAUGCAAUCUCCUUGCUCGUCUAUGUGGAAGAAACGACGUAGGCGCAGUCUGUCAUCGCCGGCGAAGUAUAUUUCUCUUGCUCCCCCUCUCCUCGGCUAGGAAGUUGUUUGGUCCUGGACUUUGCUUCUACAACUUUGGGUUGAGGAUGAAGGGGUCACGGUGUUCCAGGGAUCGGGUUAAAUACCCAACUCAUCGUCCGGAUAGGAGAAGAAAGCGUAAGAUUGUCAGUUUGAUCUCCGUUGAAUUCGGGCAGAUUGUUAUGUUGUGAACACGGGGAGGGAGAAACAUCUGUCAACGCGGACCCACAUGUCGGCACCUGGCCGAGAGAGCAUGGAGGAUUUUUCCUGACAACGUGAUGCCCGGCGGCGGCGACCCUGCUACCGCGCGCUGCUCCCCACGUCGCUGGCGACCCUCACGGCGGCUGCGCCUGGCCACGACGACUUGAUGGCAUGGAGGCCGUCAGUGCCCUUGCCCCGGCCUCAUCCGUCGUAGCAUUAGCGCUACGGCAGGAAGCACUGAGGUUAGAUCCAUACCAUGUUGCUGUUGUCAAUCCUUUGGAGAUGCUUGCUCUUGCAAAAGACCAUAUAAUGAAAAAAAUGAUGGGAACCUAGCCUCCAAAAAGUUGAUUCCUAAGAUCGUUUCUGUCUCUAAUAUAGACCGGAUUGAUGCCCUUUUCCAGCAGAGUAUUUUCCAUUCAUGAGUUGGCCAGAGUACCAUGUCUGAGGUGGUGUUGAUCCUUGUUAUUAUCUGACUGAAGAUUUAGAUUUUGAGGUAGAAAUAAAAGGUUUGGCAUCCACAACUCGUUCCCAGUAUAUUACUUGCUACUGCAGUGCCAGGCCACGAAGAUGCUCUAUUAUUGUUGUUCAUGAUGCAGGUUAGGUUAUGUGUGUAUAUCUUCGUCGUGAUGUGGAUUUCUUGGAUUAAUCCUGAAUACUAAAUCG